rnacentral:rRNA from 1 species
GAUCAUGGCUCAGGAUAAACGCUGGCGGCGCACAUAAGACAUGCAAGUCGAACGGAAGUCGUUGUAAUGAUAUAGACAUGGACUGAGAACUUGUUCAAAGAAAGUGAAAGUUGACUUACAACAAUGGCUUUAGUGGCGGACUGGUGAGUAACACGUAAGCAACCUGCCUAUCAGAGGGUACGAACAGUUAGUAAAUAGACUGCUAAUAACCGCCAUAUGCCUUACGUCAACAAC